UAAAAUGAGAGUUUGAUCCUGGCUCAGGACGAACGCUGGCGGCGUGCCUAAUACAUGCAAGUCGAACG
rnacentral:rRNA from 1 species